ACCAAAAUGUGUUUUUCGCCAAAAAAAAAAGUGUGCAUGGCUGAUUUGCCUAUCGAGUUUCAAAACGACGUCGCUUGCUUCUGUUUCCUUCAACCCCUUCGUUCGUGAGCGCCAUAAAGCUUCCCAAUACCUUCAUUCGUUCACCAUUCUCUCUGCUACUUACUGGUAAAAAAGUGAUGUUAGUGGUAGACCCGGAUGAGAGUCAGGAAAAGCUCGUCAACUCACUUGGUGUGAAAAAUGUUGUUAUUUAUUUUUUAUUUUUUGGGUGUUAGUAGCAUUACUCAAUUUAUUGUACAAGAUGUAAAGUAGUAUGCUUUUUAGGAUUUGCCUUUGUUAAAAAAGUAGGCUGAUUAAUUAUUAAGUUGAAUGUGUAUGGUAAGGCAGGACUCGAUGCUUUGUUAAGCUUGAAAUUUUGUCUUUUUUGGGUUAAUCUAUACUUUUGGCAUUGGUUCAGGAUGGUACUAUAUGUGUGUUGAUUAACGCUUUUUUUGGAUGAUUGGGCUUUCUGGGGCUUCUAGAUGUCUAUAAGGAUCUUGAGCACAAAGUUUUCCUUUUGUUGAAGAUGUCUUUAUGUUCAAAUGCACAAUCAACUGAGGUUGGGCAUUGUGGUCGUCGAAAUGCUUCUGGUGAUAAUGAAUGUAAUGAAAGUUCUUUGAGCAAUGAGGAGGACAGGGGAGGAGGAUGAGGAUGAAGAUGUGGAUUUCAAUCCAUUUCUAAAGGAAACCCUUUCACCAGAAACUUCUUUGAGCUUGGGCUCUGAAAUUGAUGGUUUGGAUGGUGAAGUUGACAGUUGGGGAAAGACUUUUGAUAAUAGUUUGGGAGUUAAUUUGUUGAAGCCAACUAGUGAGGUGCAAAACUCAGCUGUUGGAGAUUCUGUUUCCAGAACUCCUAAGAAGAGAAAAUCUUGCUCAAACUCCCAACCAAAAGCUGAUACUGUUCAAACAAAGGACAAUGUUAGUGAAAUUGAUUAUAUUGAUGUUUUGGUAGGAGACUUAAGUAAUACAGCACAAUCCCAGAAGCCUGUAAUAGAUUUAGAGAAUGAGGAUGCUGUCUGCACACGUACUAGGGUCUGUUAUUCCCUUGCAAGUUUCACACUUGAUGAACUCAUGACUUUAGUGGAGAUGGUGAUGGUCAGUCAAAUCAAGAGAAUGAAAUUGUUGAUGAUGAAGAUGAAUAUAAUGAUGCGGAUUUUGAGACAGAAAUUCAAGAGUUGCUUGAGAGUGAUGUUGAUGAAAGUACUUGAGAUAAAACCCAAAAGAACUAUGGGGGAGCUGGAUGGCGGCCAGAGACUAGGCAGAACAGGCGCCAAUAAAACUCUGCCCAAUAUAAAAAGAAGCUUUCAGGACAGGAGAAGAGGCCAUUAGGUCCUCUCUUGCCAGUUUUGCAGAAUGGACCAACUGCAAUCUUCCCUACUAAUUGUGGGAUAACUUUGAUGCCUCAUUCUUGUGCAGCAGAAGAUGGUUCUAUAAAUGGGUUUACUCUCCACCAAAUAGGCCAGUUACAUUGUUUGAUACAUGAACAUGUGCAACUUCUCAUUCAAGUAUUUUCUGUGUGUGUUCUUGACUCUUCUCGGCAACACAUUGCCUCCCAGGUUCAGGGAUUGAUUUUUGAGAUGCUUAAAAAACAUAAUGAAGUAUUAGCCUGGAAAAGUGUCCCAUAUCCUAGUAUUUGUUUUUACCCUCCAUAUGUUUGCUCAUCAGUGCCAGAUGAACAUCCCAGAGUCGCCCCAGCACAAUGCAGUUUAGAAUCAUUUCCUUCAUUUAAUACACAAAGAGUUUGCUCUCCUGUAAAUAACCAGAUGUUAGCUUCUCAAAACAUGUAUCCUUCUAAAGGAAGAUGUGUACAUGUUUUCAAUGAGCAAGUGGGUUCUUUCCAAAACAUCGAGGACUCUUUCUGGGUGCCCUUGAUAAGUGGUCUGGUACUGUCCAUCUUGGAUGUGGCUCCACUCAAUAUAGUUGGAAGAUCUAUGGAUGAUGUUUCUACUGCUGUUCAGCACUAUCAACAUCGUCCUGUGAAAUCUAGUAGUGAUGCUCCCUUUGAAAGAAAACCACUGUUUCCCCUUCCUUCUUUCCCGUUGUAUACUGAAGCUAAUUCUGAAGUUUUAAGGGGACCCAUUACCUCAGCUGUUAACAUGGUUUCAUCUACAGCCAGUCAACAAUUGCCUAAAAAAACAAUGGCUGCUGCACUUGUAGAAAGCACCAUGAAGAAAUCAGUUGUUUUCGUUACCAAGGAAAUUGUAAAGUUAGCUCAGAGAUUUUUUUCCUUUCUUCAACCCUUCAUUAUUUCCACAUAAGCCACCCUCUGCAGCUGUUAUAAAUAGGGUGAUUUUCACUGAUGCAGAGGAUGAGUGGGUCCCAUUUAAUUCUGUUGUUGAUGAUGGUGAUACGCAUUAACCUUUAUGUUGAAGAUUUGUUUCCUGUAAUUACUUCCAAGUGCCAUGGUCAUGGUUAAUGCCGGCUAUUAGCGCUGGGGUUGAUGGAAUACAAUACGAAUUGGAAGGCUAUUCAACAAUGGUUUCUUCCAUGCAAAUCGAGGCAUCAGAUUUUUGUCAGGCAAAAGAAUCGUUGCUCAUCUAAAGCACCAGAAAAUCCCAUAAAGGCAGUUUGGAGAAUGAAGACCUCUCCAUUGACUGUGGAAGAGAGAACAUGUAUUCAGGAGGGACGUAAGGUUUAUAAAUUAGAUUGGAUGUCUGUGUAGCGAUUUUUUGUCCCACAUAGAGAACCAUCUUUGCUACCUCGGCAGUGGCUCGUUGCCUUUGGAACUCAGAGGUCAUAUAAGCAGGAUGAAGCAAAAAAGGAGAGGCAGUGUUUGUAUGAGUCAAAAAGAAAAAAAGUGCAAAACUGGAGGUUUGGCAAGUUGGCAAACUGCAUCUGAAAAGGAGUUGUAUUUGCUACAGGAUGAUCAAGCUGAAAAUGCUGGAGGAAAGAAUAAAAGUGGAGAUGAGAGCACAGAUAAUGCUGGGCAAGGUUAUGUUCAUCAAGCGUUUUUAGCAGAUUGGAGGCCAGGUGGCUUCAACCUCAAUUCUUCUGCCCGUCCUUGCAGAAAUGUGAAAGACAAAAGCCUUCCUAGGGAUACAUUAUAACAAGAGGGUACUCAUAUAAGGGAGCAGCAAAUUUAUGAUGGGUCCAGAGAGACUCAACUCCAGACUGGAAUCAUGUACAAGUUUUCAACUCUAUCAGUGUACCUGGGUAUUUCAUCUCAGUUUGCUAGUGCUAGAAAUGGUACAUCUAAUAAAAUGGAACCAAAUCAUCCAGAUUCUGGUAUGACAUUGAAUACCAGAAAAUCCCAAUUCUUUUUUCAGCCUUAUCGUGGUCGUAGAAAAAGUGGUGCUUCUAAUUCCCACUUAGUGAAAUUAGUGCUAGACUUGCCUCCUGUGAAUCUUCCACAAUCUGUUUGUGUAGUCUCACAGGCAGACUUCAAAGGCUUUCAAUUUGGAGCAUCUACCAAGAUUUCUGUGGCUGGAGGUGGUAUUUGUAAUUCUGGAAUAGAAAAUUUAGUUUCUCGAAUUCCUCAUGCUGUGAACUUGGGAAGCACCCAUUCAGUAAAAGCUGUACAGAAAAAAAAUAGUCUACUGAAAGACAAUGUUAGACAUUCACAUCCAGAAGAAUCUGAAAUUGAUAAGAAUAAAUGUAUUCCUGAGGGAAGACGCAUUGAUUCUGAUCUUCAGAUGCAUCCUUUACUGUUCCAGUCCCCUGAAGAUAGACGUCUGCCCUAUUAUUGAUUGAACUGCAGCACUAGUACUUCUAGUUCUUUCAUUUUCUUCUCAGGAAAUCAGCCUCAAUUGAACCUAAAUCUCUUCCAUAAUCCUUACCUAGAAAACUAUUUUGAAGGUUUUAAUAAAUCUCUGAAGUCAAGAGGAAUCUAGAGUAUCUUCUGGCAUUGACUUCCAUCCACUGCUACAAAGAACCGAUCAUGUAUAUACUGACUCAGUGACUACUGAGAAAGUUUUUGACGCUGUCCAGACUGAGUCACUAUUAAGUCUUGAUCUGGCUACUGGUGUUAAUCUUCCAAGCCCUACAGAGAAAACUAAUGAACUGGACUUGGAGAUACACCUAAGCUAUACAUCAAGAAAGAAGAAAGGCAUGGAAAGUAAAGAUGUGACUGCAUGUAAUCCAACUGUCAGUAUUGGCAGCAUCACACUCCAGGUCUACAAUGAAAACCCUAAACUUCAAUGGCCCACAUUAUUAGCAGGGUGAUAUUUGUCCCACAGUUAGUACUGACCUUGUUUCAAGUAGCCAUGGAUUGCCGAUACCAAGUAAUAACAUCAGCAGAUAUCACAUGAUGAUAUAGGUAACCGGUCUCAUCCGGAGAUUGUGAUGGAGCAGGAAGAAUUGAGCGACCCUGAUGAAGAAAUUGAAGACCAUCUGAACAUGUAGAGUUUGAGUGUGAGGAGAUGGCUGAUUCUGAAGGAGAGGAUGGAUCAGGCUGUGAACAAAUUUGGUGUUCCAAAGUAAAGUUUGACCUUUUAUAUCUUGAAAGCUUCAGGGUCAUCCCUCACAGAAGAACUAAAACUACUAUAAAAUUCGCCCUCUCAUAUUUUCUCAAGAUGAUUGAUUGAACACAAAAUUUUACUCGACAGACCUUUUUUU